rnacentral:snRNA from 1 species
CAGUGUUACAGCUCUUUUAGAACUUGUCUAGCAGGGUUUCUGACUUUUGUUGAAACCACG